rnacentral:rRNA from 1 species
AUUGAACGCUGGCGGCAUGUUUUACACAUGCAAGUCGAACGGUAACAGGCCGCAAGGUGCUGACGAGUGGCGAACGGGUGAGUAAUGCAUCGGAACGUGCCCAGUCGUGGGGGAUAACUACUCGAAAGAGUAGCUAAUACCGCAUACGAUCUAUGGAUGAAAGCGGGGGACCGUAAGGCCUCGCGCGAUUGGAGCGGCCGAUGUCAGAUUAGGUAGUUGGUGGGGUAAAGGCUCACCAAGCCAACGAUCUGUAGCUGGUCUGAGAGGACGACCAGCCACACUGGGACUGAGACACGGCCCAGACUCCUACGGGAGGCAGCAGUGGGGAAUUUUGGACAGUGGGCGCAAGCCUGAUCCAGCAAUGCCGCGUGCAGGAAGAAGGCCUUCGGGUUGUAAACUGCUUUUGUACGGAACGAAACGGCUCUGGUUAAUACCCGGGGCUAAUGACGGUACCGUAAGAAUAAGCACCGGCUAACUACGU